UGGGGAAUAUUGGGCAAUGGGCGAAAGCCUGACCCAGCAACGCCGCGUGAAGGAAGAAGGUCUUCGGAUUGUAAACUUCUUUGAUCAGGGACGAAAGAAAUGACGGUACCUGAAGAACAAGCCACGGCUAACUACGUGCCAGCAGCCGCGGUAAUACGUAGGUGGCAAGCGUUAUCCGGAUUUACUGGGUGUAAAGGGCGUGUAGGCGGUUCUGCAAGUCAGAUGUGAAAUUCCCGGGCUUAACCCGGGCGCUGCAUCUGAAACUGCAGAACUUGAGUACUGGAGAGGAUAGUGGAAUUCCUAGUGUAGCGGUAAAAUGCGUAGAUAUUAGGAGGAACACCAGUGGCGAAGGCGGCUAUCUGGACAGUAACUGACGCUGAGGCGCGAAAGCGUGGGGAGCAAACAGG
rnacentral:rRNA from 1 species